GCGUGGCGCCCGUAGUCACCCCCGCCGUACCCGGCCGGCGCGGGCGCGUGGCGCCCGUAGUCGUCCUCGCGCCCCCCACCGUAGGCCGGGGCGCGGCCGCCGUAGUCGUCCUCGCGCCCCCCACCGUAGGCCGGGGCGCGGCCGCCGUAGUCGUCCUCGCGCCCCCCACCGUAGGCCGGGGCGCGGCCGCCGUAGUCGUCCUCGCGGCCGCCACCGUAGGCGGGGGGCGGGGCGCCGUAGGCGACGUCGUCGGGGCGGCGGCCGUAGGACGGGGGAGGGGCGCCGUAGGGGUCGGGCUCUUGGCGGCCGUAGGGGGCGGGGGGGCGGCGGUCGUCGUCGUCGUCGUCGCGGCGGCCGUGGCCGUGGCCGUGGCGGUGAGGGAACUCCAUGAUUGAUUGGCCUGUCGGUGGUGGUGGUCGGGACUCGGGAAAUGGGAACGCGGGGGGGUGGUGGAGGUGGAUCCGAUCCGAGCCUAAAUAUGUCGCGUCGCCGGAGUACAUGUCGACGGGCGGGUGAGGUGAGCGCGCGACGUGGCGCCAAUGGGACGCGCUCGCACGACCGACCGACCGACCGGCCGGGCCGAUUCAAUUUCGCAACUGGGCGAUGGCGAUCGGUGGAUCGCCACGUGCACAGCUUUGCACUACACACGUCGCGGAUGGUGGAAAAAUCGUGGUCGUAUCUCAUCCGUUGUUUCUUUUCCUUCGGAUGCCGCGGGAGAUCGGAUCGUAUCAAGCCAAACCAGUCAAGUACCAGCUCAACAAAAAUCAACCGAGCACUCAAUUAUUGCUUGAAUUUCAAGAAGAAAAAAAGGGAAAAGGAGAAUUCGAUGUGGUGUGUACGCUGUGGCCCAAUGGUGCAGCUGCGAGUUCUGAUUUCUUGUUUGAUUGGGGUUGCAUGCGCGGAGGCAGCGGGCGCCAGACGGCGAAUCCUAUUUGACGCUGCAAGCGUCGGUUAAAGUGUAUUUUUCUUAACUGACGCCUGCAGUUUUCGGUCAUGGCCGACCCUUCGGGAGGCGGUUUUUCCGUCUUUGUGAAGGUUCCGCAAGCUUUCUAGAUGGAUUUUCUUAUUUAUGUUUUUUAGGACUGGUUCUUCUUUGGUUUAUCUUUUUUUCUUUAUUAUUUUUAUUACUUUUUCAUUUUCGUUUUAAUAUUUAUAUAAUUUUUACUUUUUGAAAAACGCAGCCAUUUCUUGAUUAACUUUUUCUCAAACGAACAAAUAUUUUUUCAGAUCAAUGAACCUUUUUCAGAAUUAUAUGUUCUUUUAUUAAAAUUCUAUGAACAUUUGUGAAUAUCGAUGAACUUUUUUCAAAUUAUGAUGAACGUUUUUCUGAUUGAUGAACUUUUUGAAAUGGAUGAACCUUUUUAAGAAUUGUGAAAAAAAAUUCAGUUCAACAAUUUUUUUAAAAAAAAAUCAAAUUCAUGAACUAAUUUUCAAAAUCCGUUAACUUUUUAAAAAUGUGAGAAGUUUUUUUUCAGAUCACAAUGAAUUUUUUCAAAUUCGUUAACUUUUUGUUUCAAAAUUGGUGAACCAUUUUUCGCUUUUAUGAACCUUUUAUGUUCUUUUUUUUUUGGUUUUUAUUAUAAAAAACCCACCUUGAGCCUGGGCCGGCCCGUUAUGCACGGUGUGUGGGCGCUAGUUCUCCUAGCUGGCGCUUAAGGCGCCGCCUCGCCGCUAUGAGCUCCCGGGCCAUACCCCCCCCCCCCACCCAAGGAACUAGUAGUAAUAUAUUGGCUUAAUUAUACGAUGGACUUAAUCCACUUGUUGACUCGUACCUGCUAAUCGAUCCACACGAUCAACGAUACGCACACACUAAUCCAAUUUGAUGUUAUCGACUCUUUCCUCGGCGACGCACCAGUCGCUAGGGUUUCAUUGACGCCGCCGUGCUGGUCGCCGGUUGUCGCGUCGGGCCGCCACCGCCGACCCGCUGUGCUCCGCCCGUCAUCGACCGUGCUGCCGCCGACCAUGCAUCAAUCGAGUACAGAGAGUCCACACAGGCUAAGAAGUUGAACGGCGCUGCCGCAAGCCCACACACAAUCCCUAACCGAUGCUGUGCAGCUGUGUUGUGAUCAGAAGACGAGGUCUUGAUGUAAUGUAAGGUGUACAAUUGUCUAGUGUCUACAGACCAGGUUUCAUAUUAUUGUGGUUGUCACUUGUUGGUUUGAUUCAUUCAAUAGAUCAAUUAAUCAAUUGUUAGUACUUAGUAGUUAGUAAUAAUUUAUUUUGAUACUUGUGAGAUCAAUUACAUAUUUUCUUUUUACUUAAUGGAAGAACUGAAAACUGCAUAGGUCAUGAAUAAGAGGAAGACAUCACCGAUAAGUAAUGGUUUCAACCAAUUGCUACAAACUCUAACUCUGCGAUUGAAAAUGCAAAUGCAAGUGUCAAGGUAGAUGUCACACAGCAACCCACUGGUCAUAAUGUCCCCAAUCUCAGUUCAGUUGAUAUGCCACCCCCCGAGCAAAAUAUUCAGGUAUCUGUGGAAGUUCUAGAACAGCAAAGAAUUGGAAGCACACCAUUUGAGCGAGACCCUGGAAAGCGCAAAUAAAUUUGGGAACUCCCUCUUGAGAAGCAAAAUGAAGCACCUUGAUCGUAAAUCUCUCGAAAACUCGUCACUAUAGCUUAUCUGUGGUGGCACCAAUACUGUUAGAGAUUGGAGAGCUAGUUUCCUCUUUUUCUUCCUUUUACAUUUAACAUGUAAAUCCGUCAUCCAACGUACCGGGCCAUCUUUGUGCAAAGUUUGCUUGCACACUGACGGUCAUCGAAAGUUGGAUGGAUUUGAGACCCUCUUUCCUGCUCAUCAGCUUAUUGAUUGAUGAUGCCAGGAGGCAGGAGCUCUUUUGUUGAAUAAAGCUCUCUGACUGGAACACAAAAAAAGACACAACCAUUCAAAAAUGAUUGUGACAUUUACAAAAGUAUUCACGCUCUUCAAACAUAUGUUCACAACAUUUUCAGGAAAUGUCUAUACAACAGUAAAGAAAGUUAUGUAACUUCAAAUAAAUUGUACUACCAUUAAAAAAACUUUGUGUCAUCAUAAAAAAGGUUCACACGUUUCAAAAACAUGUUCGUAUUGUUUUUCUACAUAUGUUCGUACCAUUCAAAAAAUGUUUGUGACAUUGAGAAAAAUGUGCAUGUGUUUCGGAAAAAAUGUUGUUGAUUUUUUUAUACAAAUGUAAAAAAAAGUUUGCUUAGUUUAGAAGAAAAAAUAUUAUACCAUAAAAAAUAUGAUCAAAUAUGUAUUCCAAAAAAGUUGGACACGUAUUCAAAAAAAAUGUUCAAAGCAUUUAAAAAAAAACUAAUGUGUAUCAAAAAUAGUUGCUGAUGUACACAAAAAUGUACAACAUAUAUGAAAAAAUAGACAUGUAUUGAGAAAAUGGGGAAAUAUUAAACGUAUACGAAAUAGACAUCUAUUGUGGCAGUUCAAGACAAUAAUCGUAGUCGUCAAAAGGUUCUUCCUUUGCGACAGCAAGAACAACUUGGUGGGUAAUUUGUCAAUUCUUAAAGCCAUUCAUUCACCAUCACUUGAUUAAUUUGUAACUCAGCUAAUUAGCCACUAGCUACGACUAACAUCACUUGCAUAGCUUGUGGGGCAUCACUUUGCUUUCAGCACAAGAAAGUACUUAUAGUUAAUAAGUUAUUUGAGCUAAGUAGCAAUCCAAUGUGCGACGUGGAGUUUCUCAGCCCGCGCUCAACUGAGCUCGAAUGAACAGUAAAAGUAAAGUGAGAAAAACUGCGGCAAACCUAUUUAGCGUGACAGGCAUUGCUUAAAGGAAAAAGUUGCUAACCGGCGCCUGCAGGGCUCCGUAAUGGGCGGGCCCAUGUUGAGAUCCUUCAUGAACUUUUUUUAGCCUGUGAAAUGUUUUAGCCCGUGAUCUUUUUUUGAAAUCGGUAAACUUUUUUGAAAAUCAAUGAUAUUUUUUGGAAAUUCAUGAACAUUUCUGAAAAUCAAUGAACAUAAUUUAAAAUUCAUGAUUUUUUUCAAAAUCAGUGAAAUAUUUUUAAAAAUUGAUGAACUUUUUCAAAAUCAGUGAACUGUUCUUAAAAAUUGAUGAACUUUUUUCAAAAUCAAUGAUUGUUUUUUCGAAUCUUUAAACUUUUUGAAAAUCCAUGAAAAUAUUUUUCAAAAAUAGGUGAACAUUUUCAUAAUAAUUGAACUUUUUUGAAAAUCUGAACUUUUUAAAAUUCUGUGAACUUUUCUCAAAUUUUUAGUGACCAAGACAUUUUUUACAUGGGAGGAGUGCUUCAGGCGCCGGUUUCCCUAACUGGCGCUGAAGGCGCCAAAUACGAGGGGACUUCCUAUACCGUACCUUCAGCGUCCUCUAAGCCAAUUGGCGCUCGAUGUACCUUCCUAUACCGUCCUAUUUAAACUUUUUAAAAAUCCAUGAACAUAUUUUUCAAAAAUAGGUGAACUUUUUUCAUAAUAAUUGAACUUUUUUGAAAAUCUGAACUUUCUAAAAUUCUGUGAACUUUUCUCAAAUUUUUAAUGACCAAGACAUUUUUUACAUGGGAGGAGUGCUGCAGGCGCCGGUUUCCCUAACUGGCGCUGAAGGCGCCAAAUAGGAGGGGACUUCCUAUACCGUACCUUCAGCGUCCUCUAAGCCAAUUGGCGCUCGAUGUACCUUCCUAUACCGUCCUCUUUAAACUUUUUGAAAAUCCAUGAAUAUAUUUUUCAAAAAUAGGUGAACUUUUUUCAUAAUAAUUGAACUUUUUUGAAAAUCUGAACUUUCUUAAAUUCUGUGAACUUUUCUCAAAUUUUUAAUGACCAAGACAUUUUUUACAUUGGCUGGCCCAUGAGGAGGAGUGUUGCACGCGCCGGUUUCCCUAACUGGCGCUGAAGGCGCCAAAUAGGAGGGGACUUCCUAUACCAUACCUUCAGCGUCCUCUAAGCCAAUUGGCGCUCGCUGUAUCGAAUUCAUGGGCCGACCAACGACGCGCAACACAAGCGCAAAAGUCCUAAAAAAUGAUGGGGAUUGAUCUGCGACGGCGCGCUGGCCCAAACUUUUGGCCGGCCGCGCGCGAGCGGCAGGAUCCACCAACCCCGCGUCGUCCGCACCAUUGGAUCCGCAUGCAACAUUUUUUUUUCCUAUGCAGCAAAAUUUCGAUUCGAUGCGAUGCAGCAAUUUUUUUAACGGUUGCAACAAAAAACAAAAAUUGUGCCAAAAAAAUAUUUACGUGAUCGUAGCAAAAAAAUAAAGCUGAUGGUACGUGGUAGCAAAAGUCAAACGCCGAUUGUAACAAAUAUUUAUGUGACGUGUAUGCAACUUUUUUAGUGAACAGUUGCAGCAAACAUGAUGCCGGUUGUAGCAAAAAUUAACACGGUUGUAGCAAAAAGUAAAAAACAUCGAUUGUAACGAAAAAUCCAACGAACUGGUGUUGCAACCAAACGUAUAUGCAGCUUUUUUACUGAAACAAAAAAUAGUAAAAAAACGCUUGCAGCAAAAAUGACGCUGGUUGCAACAUAUUUAGACGAAAAAUGUUGCAUCCAUUGACCAGAAAAGCGCGCGGGUGGAAAAAAUGUUGCAAGGACCCGCGCGCGCGAGGGGAUGACCGGCGCGCGGGUGGGAAACGAUUCCCAAGAAUGAUUGGGGCUUUGACUCGAACUCAGGUCCUCUCAUUCCUACAUCUUCUCUGCUAACCACUAGUCCUAGAAGCUAAUAGUAAUCAACUGAACCUCAAAAAUAUUUAAGAAUACUCUAGCCACGUAGUUCCAAAAUCUGAAAGUUCACAUAUUUUUAAAAAGUUCACGAUUGUUUUCUUAAAAAAGCCUCACGUAUUCGAAAAACAAAAUCACGAAAUUGAAAAUUCAUUAAUUUGAGAAUAAAAUUUCACAAAUUUUCAAAAAAAUCUCUAAUUUAAGAAAAGUUUGUAAGUUUGAAAAACGUUAACAGAUUUGAAAAUGUUCACAAGAUCCACAUAAGUUCACCAAAUUGUUAAAAAAAUUCAAGAAUCUUUAAAAAGUUCCAUCAAAUUCGAAAAAAGUUCAUCAAUUUUGAAAAAAGUUCAACGGAUUUCAAAACAAGUUCAUUGAUAUUUUUUUUUUAAGUUCAUCGAAUCUGCAACAGUUUUAUCAAUUUAAAAAAAGUUCAGUGUAUUUUCAAAAAAGUUUAUCAUUUUUUAUAAAUAUUUUGAACAAAAACUUGGAAAAGGUUCAUUGGAUUCGAAAAAGGUUCACCGAAUUUUGAAAAUUUCAUCAAGUUUAAAAAUAGUUCACCAUUUCGUAAAAAGUUCACAAAUUCAAAGGAAAAAAAUCAUCAAUGUUGGAAAAAGUUCAUUGGUUUUUCUAAAAAAAGUUCAUUGUAUUUGAAAAAGUUUGUCAAAUUUGAAAGAAGUUCACUGAACUAGGAAAGAGUUCAUCAAAUUUUAAAAAUUGUGGAUGGAUUAAAAAAUAAACGACUAAGAAAGAAGGAAAAUUAAAAAGAAAAUAAAAACAAAAACAGAAAACAGAUAAAAGGAAAAAUGAAAAAAGAAGAAACAAUGAUAAGGUAAAAAUGACGUAUGUUGACACAUCAAGGAAUGUGGUUACCACUCUUCGCACCGAGCUAGGAGAUCCUGGGUUCGAAUCCUACUCCUUUCCAAUAUUUGAAUGAACAGACAGACGUAAAUGGGCUAACCGGCGCCUGCAGCAUUAAAUAGGAAAUGCCGAAAUGACGAAUAGGAGGUCCCAAAAAACUGUGUGUGCCUGUGCUAGAUUGGGUCAGGCGCAUGUCUGCCUCGCGCACUAGGCUUGGCCCAUCAUCGGUGUGCUUGAGACGAGGAAGUCUUAAGCGAGACAUAGAGGCUCUCACGAAGUAUAGCAUUGUGGACUGGAGUAGAAUAUAGUUCUUUUAAGCUAAGCCUAACCCCCUUUAUGGCCCAAUACAUAUAUAAACACUACACACUCUGUGCCGGCCUACAUGCACUGACCCGAACUUGUACUCGAUCUGGUCAUGGCCCACAAAAUUGGAUCAUUCUACGUUCGAUUCUCCUUUUCUGCUGAAAAAAAUGCAAGACAAUAGAGCAUUUUUUAGGAAGCAAUACCACUAUAUAUGUUGUCAUUGCAACAAUCUAUUAUAUUAAGAGCAUCUACACCCGGACCCCUCAUACAUGUCUCAAACGCCUCGACAGGCCGUCCGACCAGUGAUCGGUCACAAAAACGCGACCCAACCGAACCUCUUAAAUCCGUCUCAAACGCCCGAGCUGACCGGCACUGCUCAUAUCCGGCCCAAAUAUAGGGCUGAUAUGGGGCGGUCCGGUCACACCGGGUGUGUCUGCCCGGUAAGCCCGGUCCAACACUGACCCCACCGUUGUCCCACAAAAUCCCCACUUUGGCCGCCUCGUUCCGAACUCUAGCUCACUCUCUCUCGCUCUGUCCCCUCCUCCCCCUCUUCGAGUAUGAUCCCAUCGUGUCCAAUGUCGAUCUCCGACAGCCGCUCCGGCUCCGACGGUCGCUCCGGCUCCAACGGCUCGGACAUCGACCCCGAGGAGUUGGCCCUCCGCAUCGCCUUGGAGCGCGGUCCAAGGUGGAGACGGCCGGAAGCUCCGGAUCUAGCGCUUAGCCACUGGUCCCGCGUCGACGGAUCUAUGACAUCGAAGCGGGACCCUCCCGGCACGCGAGCAGCUCCGUCGGGACUGCGUCCGCACCUGCCCUGCGUGCUGCCCUUUCCCCGCCGGCCGCUCCUCCACGCGGGCAUCAUUGGGUCCUAGUACCCGCACCAUUGGCCUGCACGGGCACUCCGGAAUCGGAGGCGCGCACCGCCCACCGUGAGAGGCAGCGGGCAAGGGAGAGGGAAACAAAGCAGUCUGUGCGCCACCGUCGCGAGAUGCCGGCUGAGCCCGACAAGGACGAACGCCUCCUCGCAUGGGUGUACCUCGGGUCCCUCACGACGGCAGAGACGAGUGUUCGACACCUUCGUCAGAAGAACGCCAAGGCGUUUCAGCUUGCUAUUGAGCAGUCGGAGCGCGAAGCGAAGGAGCUAGCGGAGGAGAAGGCUCGACUCGCCAAGAUGAAGCGGGAGCAGUACAGGGCCGUCCGUCGGAUGAAUGGCCUCAUCGUCUUCUUGGACUCGGACUCUGACGACGGCAACAACGACACCUCGCCCUUUGACCCUCCGCCAGCCACGAACGGCUACAACUGCGUCGACGACCCACAGGGCAAAGGGCCAGCAAGGAAGUGGUGAUCUGCCCCCCCCCCUCUACGCAUUAUUUAUAUACUCCCUCCGUCCCAAAAUUCUUGUCUUAUUGUCUAAAAAUGGAUGUAUCUAAGUACUAAAACAUAACUAGAUGCAUUCAUAUCUAUACAAAUGUAAGACAAGAAUUUUGGGACGGAGGGAGUAGUUUUUAGUUGUAGUAACGUAAGAAAUUUGUCCGAUGAACUUGAGAUGAUCUUGUGGCUGAUGUUUGAUGUCCGUUUGAAGUUGAUUUUGUGUUUGUGCGUUUUUGAUUUUGUUGUCCUAUGUUUUUUCACGUACAAUAGCUCAACGUUGCGUGGGUAGUACGGAUAUGGGUGUCGGAUAUAAGACAAGCGGAUGUGAAAAGGAAAAUAUGAAACGCGUCUGGCCAGUGUACGAGACGCGACCGUUUGAGGGGUUAGAUUUGCAAGUUACGACUAUAGAUGCUCUAAAUACUAUCUUUCCUGGUUAAAAAGACACUUAAGGCCCCUCCCCACUUCACCUAUGUCUUCGGUUUUGCCGAUUCUUCUCAUUGAUUUUUCUUAAAAGACACCUCAACUGUCUCAUGUAUUUUUAUAGCUUAGCAAAUAAAAUUAUGUUUUCGUUGGUAUGUCUAUAGGUGCUAGUUUAAUUGACAGUCGAUAUAUUAGCAGUUAUGGCGAAGCCACAAGUUCAAAGUUAUGAUCUCAAUUCAUAAUUGUGACCAAAUACGUGUGUUUAUAUGAUUUUUUUUCUUUCUUGAUUUCUACUUAUAUGUGUUGCUUUUGCACAAAUACUGUAUAGUCAACUGACUACACAGAACACAUGUGGAGUCGUCAUUGUGUAAUCACACUUACACACUAUCAAUAAAAUGACGGGUAAAUCAUGAUGAGUGCGUGCAAAAUAUUUAUGCCUCGUUGCAACACCAACCAUUAUCUAAUAGUAGUAGUUAAGAAACAAUAUCCCUGGUCCUCAAAAGGUUCUCCCUUUGCGGCAGCAAGCACAACUUGGUCAGUAACUUGUCAACUCUCAGAGCCAUUCAUGCAUCAUCACCUGAUUAAUUAUUAUUUUUAACGCAAUCACCUGAUUAAUUAAUAACUGGUGAGGGUAUAUCCGUACACAUGCAGCUCAGCUAAUUAGCCACUAGCUGCGGUUGACAUCACUUGCAUAGCUUGUGGGGCAUCACUUUGCUUUCAGCACAAGGAAGUGGUUAAUUAAUCACUUAUUUGAGCUAAGUACCAAUCCAACGUGUGCUUUUGCUUCGUCUUAGGAAGCAGGUUAUGGAGCUGUCUCGUUGAUACCUAGCUACUUGGCACUUGCAGUGGUCAAACACUUGGUAGAAAACAUUUUUUAAUUUUGAGCGUGUUCAUUCUGAUGGAUCGAGAUAGCUUGACCCCUUCAAGUUAUAUGUAAUAAUGCACAUCGAUUGUACAAGCAAAAGGCCGAUUUAAUAUACUCAUGGCAUUAUAUUACUCCGUUGCAUUACGUGAGAGAAUUCUCAAUGAUGAGUGCCAUGCAUGCACAAGGUGAAAAAACAACAAAAACAAUGAAGCGUGCAUGGUUGAUCAAGGUAUCAGUUUACCAUCCCAUUGUUUUUUUUAUCUACCGGUGGUCUACGAAUUCAUAUGUGCUAGUAUUCAGUUGGUAUAACCAUAAUCAGCGAAAAAUUCGAUGGGGCAUCAUGUAUCCGCAGCUUAGUUAUACGCAUACAUACGUAAAAUAUUCAACCCAUGCUACAAAAAAUACUUUUAUCCAUGUGGCAAUCUUGCAUUGCUCCAUAUAUAAUUUCUCAAAUAAAUUGCUAAGAUAUAUUUAAUUAUUAGAUACACGCAUGCCUAUAUGGUUGUUUAAUUACCUUUCACAACAUUUAGUUACUUUUUGUCAAUAACAUUUAACAAAUGUACAACUUGUACUAGUAAGUACGUACAACAAACAAAAUGUAGAUAUAUUGUUACCGCGACGCAUCGCUCAUAGGAGUGGACACGAAAUAGAUAGUGAUAUUGGGCAUUGCUAUUUUCUCCUUAUUGAAUUAAUAUCACAAUUGAUUCGUGUGUACAAAAUAUGAGCAUGACGCCGAGCAGUUGAGUGGCCCCAAUGUGAAUUUAUUUCUAACACCACCUACACCCCAAAUCUAAUGUUGUUAUUCAUGACCAAGUAAUCUUAUUAUUUAUGUGCCUCGUGAGUUUGCUCUUCAUAUUCGGGUUUGCAUUUGUGCAAAUGUGAGCUUCAUUAUCUUCAUGUAUGUAGAUCCGGGUUCCCUCUGCUAUGAUACCAAUUGUAGGAAACCUACUAUGUGAUGGCUUUGAUACCCAUAAUACUUGAGAACCUUCACACUCUCAAAUAAUGGGGAUAACUCGAUCUUUUAUUCACAACCACUAAUAGAAAAACUACUUUACGUGAGAUACAUUAGUCCCUGUUUGUAAACGGACGGGCACUAAUGUGACCAUUAGUGCCGGUUUAAACGGCUAGGGAGGCGCGCAUCAUUAGUCAUGAUUCGUGUUGAACCUCUAGUACCGGUUCGUGACACGAACCGGGACUAAUGGAGUGGUGACAGGCUGGUGUCUGCCUGCUUCAACUCAUGAUACUUGGUACAAACUUUAUUGGUGUCUACCUGCCAUUCUCAUUCAUAGCGGGUCCUACUACUACCUUGGUUCUCUUUCUACCUUGCUUAGUUUGGUUUAUCUUAGGAGGGGAGUCCAUCCCUAUCUAGAGUUGCACAUGACCAUUAGAUUGAUGGCAGGUGGCAACCAUCCAAAACCAAUGCAGUCAUUGCUCUCUGAAUAACCUAGAAAACACCCUACAAAUAUCUUAUAUCUAGUGUUCUCUUUAAUUUGCCACAUAAUUUAUUCAAACAUUUGUUCUAGAACCACCGAGAGAAAUAACAACUCAUGUGUAUUAAUAUCCAAAUGAUCUAGAAGUUUCUUAUCUUUGAGAUGAAUAACUUCUCUAGUAUCCUCCAUGGCAAAUAUCUUGACGUUCUCGAUUCUUAGAAAUAUCUUCAGUGACCCAAGUAUGCAUUGCAUAUUAUCAACAAUAGGAAAUCGAUAGAGUAUCUCAAGAAUGUAAACAACUAUCGGCUAUGGCAUGUCACCGUAUGAGGCCAAAUGGUGUGCAUAUGUCAACAUAGGGAGGAUAUCUAGUGGCCAAGCACUCCCGGUGCUGCCAAUGCACAAAAUCACCAUUCUAUUACUUUCUUUUUUCUUAAAAUGUUAAGUGAGUCAAUAAGAUAUGUUUGUACAAUGUGUGAAAUUUUGAAAUCAAUUCAACCUACAUAUGAUGGAGAAGCAAAAAUAAAUAAAUAAAUAAAUAGAAAUUCAGCCAUGAUGGUGUUUGUAUUUUGAUUUUUUAUAAUAUUCAUAGUUGGAUUUAUCUUUUUCGAGUAAGAUGUUUUUAUCCUCUAUCUACAUACUCCCCCUGUUCCAAAAUAAUUGUCUUAAUCUUGUACUAAUCUUAGUAUAAAAUUAUACUAAUUUUGAGAUACUUAUUUUGUGACGGAGGAAGUGGAAUUUUGUGGUGCCGACCUCUUAGGUGGGACACACACAUGCUUCCAUCGAUGUCCAUGCAUAGGAUGAUGGGAAUAUCAGCAUCUGUCAUUUUUUUUCUAACUGUUUUUACUUCUUCCUUUUUCCAACUAGCUUAGCCUAUCAAUUGCUUGUUCGUGUACAUACUUGUGUGUCUCUCUCGAUAAACUUGUCGUUCCUUGGGUGCGAUGACUUCGCAAGGAAUCCAACCUUUCUACCAGUAAAAAAAAAAAAGACAAGCCAUUGCUCUCCUCUUUAUUUUAAAGUACAUGCACUUCAAUUAUGCACGUCUCUUCCCCCUAACACGAGCAUGCAUUAUAAGUUGCUACUAUUCUAUAAGCUCCAAUUGAUUCAUCCAAAGUCCAAGAUUUGGUUACAAUAAAUAAGGAAAGUAAUUUUAAACUAAUACGAAUUUUAUUCAAUGAAUGUUCACAAUUUACAUCCUAGUUCACCCUACAUAUACAUACAUAUACACACAAGUUAAACAUGCAUCUACAAUCAGUUCUACCUAUCUUGUGACAUAAUUGUGUUCUUCUUCUACUCCGGCCUAUAAUAUCUUACACUAAUCAAUUAACUUUACACAAUAUACGGUACUAAUUUAGCCUGAUCUACAAAUUAUGCAUGAGUAAUAUCCCCCUCGAUCCAUUGAUCGACCGGCAUCAAUAGUGAAUAAUUGAUUAAUAUGUCUGCAGUCAAAUCGCUAGCUAGCUUUCUCCUAGCCCUAAUUAUCAAGGUAGCAUGCAUGGAUCAUAUCCUGUCCUGCUGGGAAGGCUGGUCUGGCCCAAAUAUGGAGAAGCCGCCGUUCAUCAUCGUCAUGGACCCAUCGCUACCCAACCACCUCUUGGAAGCGUGCAACGACGACAUUUCACCAUCGUUAUUGCUGUCCGCCGUCGCCUGCCUCUUCCGCGCCGUGCUGGCCUCGCCGUCGCUGGCCCCAGCAGUGGUGCCGAGGAAGAACUGGCCGACGGAGGUUGCAAUCUCCGGCUGUGGCGGCGGCAUGCUGUCGAAGAGCUCCGAGACGGCUGAGUAGUCCACGAGGUAGUCGGAGAUGGACGGGUUCCUCGGCAGCAUCCGGGAGGAGGAGGAGGUGUCCUCUUGCUGCUGAUGUUGCUGCUGCUGCUGCUGCUGCUGGUGGUGGUGGUGGCCGUGGCCGAGGCCGAGGGUGGCGUCCAUGGACGACGGCGACGGCGACGGCUCGUAGAAGGGCGACAGCUGCUGCGGGUUGGGCUUCUUGUAGAUCCUGCACAGCACCCAAUCAUCCAGCUGCACGCACACAAGAAGGUGAAUCAGUGCCACACACGUGUGUGCAUGUAUGUUGCAACAAACGGUCGCUUGCUAAGCUUGACAGGUAGUUGGUGCUGGUUAGCUAGUAGGUUGUGGCUUGUAAGGUAAUAGUGCAAGUCUCUUUCUUAGGGAAGGAAGAUCCCAGCGGUGAAAGAAACUAUAGCUAAUAGGACGGACAGUGGCUUCCUAGCUCAUUGACCAGGUUAGUUGCUUGCUCGAGCUCAACUCACUGACAUCCACGCACACGCAACUAAUAAGAAGAGAACAAAAGAUUCCUAGCUAGCUCCAACGAGAUGCCUUCCUCGUUAAUUUGCAGCCGCAGAAAACAUGCAUAUGCAUGUGUGAUCAAUCAAGAAGAAAUAAUAAAGCAUGAAAUUACCGAGUACAACAAGAUGAUGGAGAGAGCCAUCGCAAAAAAAGAAAAAAAGAAAGAUGAUGGAGAAAGAGUUGUGCAUGCAUGCGUACCCUCAUGGAGGACGAGGCCUUGAACCGCGUGGGGGGCCGGUAUGUGUGCGCGGCGGCGGCGGCGGCGGCGUGGGCGUCGGCGAGGCGGUACUCGUGCAUGAUCCAGUUCGUCUUGUGCCCCUUGGGCGGACGGCCCUGGUAGAACACGAGCGCCUUCUUGACGCCGACCAUCUCGCCGCCGGGCACGCCGCCGGCCGUGAUGGGCUUGUCGGUGCCGGUGGCCUUCCAGUAGCCCGACCCGGCGGCGCGGUUGGGGCGGACGCCGUUGGGGUACUUGCGGUCGCGGGGGCUGAAGAAGUACCACUCGUCGUUGUCGCCCUCGAACACCGCGCGGGACGGCAGCUCCCACGGGUCCAGCUUGUAGAUGUCCACCUCCGCGAUGACGGCCGCCGGGCACGGCGCCGCGGCCGCGCGCCUGCGGAGGUAGUGCACGAUCAGCUCCUCGUCCGUCGGGUAGAACCGGAACCCCGGCGGCAGCCCCGUGCCCGCCGGCGCCGGGAGCGACGUCGGCCUCGUCUGCAGCUCGAUCGUCAUCACACACACCCGAUCGAACGCUCGGUCAGGGGCUCAAGGCGGCGAGGGAAGGGAAGGGAAGGUGGGUCGAGAGUCGAGACGGAGGAGAACUGAAAUUUUCGGAGGUGGAGGCGACGGGUGCGGUUAUAAAGGCGCCGAGGUGCUCCGGCGCAUGGCAGGCUCUUGUAAUUCUUGGCCGCCGGUGACGAGAGGGAUGAUGAUUGCAAGGGCCCUGCCGUACGUGCGCGUCCAUCCAUAUCACGUCAUCGGCGCUCGCAGGCUCACGUACUUGGCCAGAAUCUUCAAUUUGUUGGAAUAUUUUCUCUCUUUUUUGUGCCAUGUGAGAACGAGAGAGUGGGGGAAAAUAUAUCCGAAAAAGACAUUAGCAGAAUGAAUGGAUGAAAAUUGUGCAAAUGAUUGGAGAAGUUGGAUAUUCGGCUCGGUUUGUAGGACCGGGAAGCGUUCAUGGCCCAGAGGAAUACCAUAGCACAUGAAUACCAGGUACGGUGUUUUUGUGUGUGUUUUCAUUGACCACGCAGGAAUAGCUACUCCUAUGCAUGCAUGCACUGAUGCACAUGCAUGGUGCCAUUUGCUGCUGGCUGAGACAUUUCAAAGAAAAUUAGUAUUAUUCAUUGCUGAAAUGCAAAGCUCGGAAAAUCAUUGGAGUUGUCAUAGACUACAAACUACAAGUUGAUUGAAUUCAGAUCAAGAUUUUUGUAGGCCCGGGAUUAUCCGAUCUUCAUUUAAUUCUGUUCAUUGCUAAAACGGAGGGACUUAGGAGUAUGCAUGCACAUGCAUUAGAGUCAUCUGCUGCUUAGCUGCUAGCCGAGACAUACAAAAUUAUAUUCCCUGCUGGUAUGCAAAACCAUUGGAGCUGUCUAGACUACUAAUUGAUUGAAGUUGCUUAAAUAUCUCCAUCAAACUCUAAGCAUUCAGAUCAAGAUUUAAUCAUUUUCAUAAAGCGCACGAAGGUUCUACUUGCACAGUUGAAGAGUGAAAUUUAAGAACUGGUAGUGCGCAAUUUGUAGUAACUGAAUCCAAAAGGAAAGGUACCUACGGGCGAGUUCCACUUCAUAAAAGGGGCGGUUUUGGACAAGAUUGACGACUAGUUUAUAUAGCUAUAUAUGUGUAACAAAUUAACAACCAAUAGAACUAUAAUAUUGAUGAAAAUACUCCUUGAUACUAAUCUAACCAUAUGAUUCAUGUUUCAUAUCCAAAUAUAAAAAAAUGAUAUCCAUAGUAAAUCAUUUCAUCGUUUGACAUACAACAUGUAUGUAUUCGUGGCAGUAAGAAUUAGCAAACUAAGAAUCAUUGAAAUUAAUGAAAUCAUUAAAUCACUACAAAUUGCUACCGCCCGAUUGCUAAUUAGAGUACAAACAACAUUAUAGAUCCAAAUAUCCCGCAAAAAAAAGCAUUAUAGAUCCAAAAUAAUGAAACCUCAACUUCAUCAGAGCAUCUCAAUUAACUAGUGUGUUAUGUUGUCAGAAAUUAUAUAUAUUCAUAUCAUCGACUGUAUACAACCACUCCAACAGAGUGUUUCUAAGUUAAUUUGCUCUCUAUUUUGACAUUGGAUCUUAUGCAUGUCUCUGUUACAUUAUUAUAAACCAUACGUUGCCGAUUUUAUGAGCAAUAACCUACCCCGCGGCGGGGAUGGAGGGUGUGUGGUGAUAGACAAACACGGCUAUUGAGUGGUAACAAAAACCCUACUCAUUAUACGACUAAUACAGUAGAUACAGUAGAAGAUCUAAGUUCCAGUAGAUGGUGAGAGAAUCAAAGCUUGCUCUAUUUCCACCUUGGAGCUUGUGCAUAGCAUUAUGGUUCAUCUAAAUACAAGCUUCAUAUAUAUCCUUAUAUUAUUUAGUUUAAUUAUGUGAUGUCACAUAAAUUUUACAUGACAAAUUUUACCCAUGAUCAUGUCACCAAACACCAAAUGCUUGCGAUGCCGCUAGCUAUGAGACGAAAUUAGCUUACACCAUUAAUAUAUCCUUUUUUAGGCCGGAUUUGACUUUUGUGCCUUGUGAUGGGAAUGAUUGGCUUGCGUGCUAAACUGGCUUAGCUAAGCUCUAGGUAGUCCGAAGUCGCUGGAGACUCUGGAGAAAGCUUUUUCGUCUACUCUUACUCCACAAGAAGAAUAUGCACGACCGGGCCAUCACCUGAUCGAUUAUAUGGAUAGUUUAAUCUAUGGAGAAUUCCAUCAAGCCGCGCGACUAUAUAUAUAAUCUUCAAUUAUAUCUGAUUUUGUACAAGGUACUGGUGAACUAUGCACUACUCGAUCGAUUUGCUUGCGUAGGUCAGAUUGAAAAAACAGUGCACAUCAACUCAAUUAUGUAUGUGCAUAGGAUCGAAUGAUUCGCUGGGGAUAUGCCGAUAAACCCUAGGAAGAAGUUAAAGCUAGCUAGCUAGCUACUCCCUCCGUUACGGUUUAGAAGGCACAGUUAAACUUGUGUGCGUUUUUAAAAUAGACAAGGUUUAAACGCGAAAGCAAUUACUCCUAUUAAUUAGUACUAGUACUACUCAUGCAUGCGUCCUCCUAAUUUGUUGCUCACGCAUUAGUACUAGUAUUUUUUCAGUUGAUUAGGCGCAUUAGCAUCUACACCUGCUACAUCUCACAACCAAUCGGUGACUACCUUGGUACCAGAGAUUUUUUCAAACGUGUCUUCUAAACCGUGACGGAGGGAGUAGCAGACAUGGUUUAAGAGUAUACAAAUAAAUCCAGUCUUUUUAUGCAUGCAAGCAUGCAUUAAAGGGCCAGCACUAGCUCUUGUUUUGCACUUUUUUUACGAAUAACUGGCCUCAGCGUAAUUAACAACAUGCAUACAGUCAACACAUCUGAUUUUUAUUAAAACAUCACUUUAAAGGAACCAUAAAUAAGAAGUAGCCUGGGAUAUAUGAGGUCCUAUUCGAGGGUGGGGAAAAACAUUUCUGUAUGCUUCAAUCGAGUGGACACCAUCAUAAAAAGAUACAUAUCUUCCGGCCUCGGACAGACCUAGCUAGUAAGAAGUCAUUGUAUAUUUGUAUACACACAUAAAUAACCUUGAGUAUGGAGGUAGCUACUAGCCAAGUUGAUGAGAUUAUUGUGCAUGUGGUUUCUCUCUUUAGAAAGUGCCUGUGCAUGCAGCUUAACUUCUCCCUCGAAUUAACCUCAUAAGACACUAGCAUAACGUACACAUAAUCAUACUUAUAAGUUAUAAUUAAGCAAACAUAUGCACGCAUGCAUGCCACCAGCAGUACAUACAGUACAAAAUCUAUCUAUCUGAUCCAUUUCGCACGUGCGUGCUUUCAGGGACAGUAACGUUGCACAAGGCGUGACGGCGCCUUCUCUUCCUCCGGCUUAUUAUUACAUGCAUACCAAGGCUGUCCACGUGUACAACACCCGGCCGGCCUGUCAGAGUCUCUCUUACGUGCCGACCAUGGAUGCAUAUAAGCUAUAGCAGGAGCAUCGAUCCUACAGCUAGAUCAUCUUGAGGAGGAGUAGCUUACAUCUGCGUGUACAGCUGGUGCAUGCAACUGGUGGGUCCAUCAUCAUAUGCUGAUGGUUCAGCUAGAUAUACUUUCAUGCAUGCACACGUGUGUGUAGGUGCUCGAGCGGGUCCCGUCUAAUUCUUGUUAUGAAAAGGAUGCAGAGGGAGGGAGGGAGACUAGUCGCCGAUCAUGACAUCCACUCGUGCUAUGCUGGCUACUUCUACCCAUCUCAUACACGGUUUGGCAUGCCAAACACUGCUAGGACUUUUUUCUAUAUAUAUCCUUGCGUACUUAAUCAUAUCUCGAAAAUCGAUGCAUAUAUGGCAUAUAUACAUGCAUGCGCAAAGGAAAGUCUUUUUAGUUUUCAAACGAUAAAUGUCACAAGUGUGACAUGAAAUAACACCGUCCUGACGUUUUAUAAACGAAAAUUGUUAUCAAACAGAAAGUUGGCGUGCUUCACAAUUAAAAUUGGCAUCCUCCGAUAACUAAACUUGUCAUCAAAAAAUGUUGAAAUUGCUUCUUGCCAUACAUGUGACGUUUAUCAUGGUCCUUUAGUUUCAAGAAAAGUCAAAAUUGAUUCUACGUACCAACCGGUCAGCUUGGUUAAUUAGCUACCAACAAAAUUUGCAAUAAAAAUGAUUAUAAGAGGUUUAGAGCUAAAAUUGUAUUUUGGACCUGUGUGUUUAGCGCCUAUUGAAGGCAUAAAUCGAUGGAAUUUGGAUUUAAAAUUUUCGACGCAUUUUCUCACAAUUUGUUGUCUUUUGGUGGCCGGUGCAUGAAUAGUAGCACUGUAAAGUUUGACGGUACAUCAAUAAUAGAUAGACAAUAUUUUGAGUUGGAUAGAUAGGUACUUUCUCAAAGAGCAGUACUAACUAUCUUAGUAGCAAAGUGGCAUCUCUCCUAGUAUUUUCGGAUAAGUGCAUCGAUAUCUCCUAGUAACACACGUACGUACUACUUAGUUAUUACCAGUGUAUUCAUGUAGGCACACGUGGUCAGGUUCGAGUGGACGAUGAGUGGCUAGCGAGCUAAACAAGCUACCCAGCUAGUGCCAAAUAAGAGGGAAGAAAUGCAAUACGUGAUUGAUAGGACGAUGAUACGGACGGAUGGAUGGUGAUCGAUCAUCCCCGUACCCAUCAAAUAUCGUUUUCAGGUUAAAGCAGCAGCUAUUUCCAGAGAUCGAUAGCAAGACACGCAUGCACGUGUCGACAGGCCGGAAAGAUGGAAUCUAUUUUCAUGAUAUAUAUGCAUCAUUUGUUUAUUUAUUUGUGAAAGGGCAAAAUUCCAUAUAUAAAACAUCACAAAUCUUUAUAAAACAAUCUUACAAAAUUUAAAAAUACAUCUAAAUCUUUGGAGGUGCUGAAGUCUUCUUUCUCCUACACAUAUGAUGGCAUGCCUUAUUACCGUCUCUAGGACUUCGUCUCAGCGGAGUAUACUCUUUUUUGUUCGAAUUCAAUGGAGCUAACUUGGUGAAACGCAGGAACGAAACAAGUAUGUGCAUGUAAAAUUGAAACAUAAACACGACCAUUUGUGCUUGGUGCAAGAAGAGCAAAACGGCCAAGCAGCGGUGUGAGCUACAAGUGCGGAAACAAGCAACCAACAUGUUAUUUUUGCACUGCACCAGCAAAUGAUCAAGUUUCAGUUUCAAAAUUUGCAUGCACAUACUUUAUAUUCAUUCUCUACGCAUGCAUGAUUAUUAUGAACUUUUAAAAACUUACAUGAUGUGUUUUUCAGAACCAAAACUCACUAUAGAGAGUCCGACGCACCCAGUACCACAUUAGCACUUUCCAGGUGUAUAUGCUACAUCUGGUACUUCCCCCCGUUUUCUUGGUGUUGGAAACUUCAAACCUGACGAUCCAUCUAGUGGACUUGAUAAUUAAUGGUCAUGGAUAAUACAGUGAAAGCAUUUGUGGUGCCAUUUACUUGACUGCUACAUGCGGUAGCAGCCUCAUGAAGUCAUGAGUCUUGAUCGCCAUGGGUACGUACAGGCCAGCCACAAGAACAUGCAUUUUUGUCUUUCUCGUGACUCGAUCAAUCGAUCAAUCAUGCCCACAUAAUCGAAAUUUCUCUCCUCCGCCAAGUAAAUAAAAUUGUAUGUAUCGAUGGGGUUAACUGAAUUUCACAUAAUUGACCCGACCGAUCGAUCGAGGCAAAAGAGGGAGCGCAAAGUGAGCAACAUCAACAGCACGUGCCACUCGAUAGCUAGGUGCCAAACAGAAAGAAAGAUAGAAAGAAGUAAAACCGGCCAAGCAGGAGUUUUCCCUAUACGUGAAUGUGACCCGUUCAGUGCAUGCAUACAUAUGUAUAUUUAUUCCACUUUUGACCCGACCACAUCAAUCGUAUCUAAUCUCUUGUAGCACAAAGGGAUGACUCGGUUCCAAGUUGUGAUGUUUACUGUGUACCUCAAGUUGUUUGUCUAUUUCAUUGCUCUUCACUCUUAUACGACGCUAAGCACUUGAAUUUUUGAGAGACGUUAAAUUCAGCCAGUGCAACAGGAGCGUGCACCGGAAAUUUUCUUCUCCGCCCACUUCCUACGUUACGUACGCAUAGGUGGUCUUUGGUUGGGUUAUGGAUUUUGUGAAAUAAAUAGGUGGUCUUUUAGCAAACAUCUCAUACAAUAAUUGUAUUUUUGAACAGUUGUAAUUUUUAAUGACAAAACUGAAUAGUGAAACACAACUAGUGGCAUAAUGAUAAAAACCCGUUAAUGUGAGGAGCCAAAGGAAAAAAGAAGAAUGAAGUGGUAUGGGGAUCCUACUGGCAAUAUUUUGUACUACCUAGGACUACUAUUCCAUCAGCCACUCAUCAGAGUUCCUCUCAAAGAAACCAAAGAAAAAUGACUCCGGACAAAGUUGAUUUUUUUCUUUCAAAACAUCAUAUCACUGAAAGAAUAAUUAUGAGACAUCAAAACUUCAAACAUAGGGUUUGAUCCCUGAUGGGUUAUAGAUACCAUCAUUCUCUUAACCUAAUACUUUUUUUAAUGGAGGGAGCAUAUGACAUCCGGACGACUAUUAUUUUUCUGAGUUCUUAUUCGCGCACAAGCACACAAUCGACUCAGAAAAGUAAAUGAACUAGCUAGACGCAUACAUGGUACAUGCCACAUCUGGUGCUUUCGUCCCGCUUUCUUGGAGUGAAAAUUCCAAAGCAGACGAUCGAGUUAGCUAGUGAGCUUGGAUUUUGUGUGAUCGUCUAGUCUUGACUACUGGCAGCCUCUCUUAGUCUUGAUCACUACCUGCAGCCUGUCAAUAAACAUAUGCAUUUUGUUUCUCUCGUGACUCGCUCAGCCAAUCAUAUCCAUAUGAUUAAGGCGACUCUCUUCUUUCCGCGUGAAAACCAAUCGUGUCCAGGGUGUUGAUUAUAGUUGACGGGUUAAAGGAGGAACGUAAACAACAAGAACAACACGUGCUAGAUGCCCCGCUGCCAAUCAGAAAGAAAGAAGUAAAACCGGCCAUCAAAGCAGGAGUUUUCCCAAAGUGACUACUGUUCGGUGCAUGAAUAUAUUAUAUUACUACCUUUUCCCACUUUUGACCCGACCAAUCGUUCUAUCCAAUCCAUCCAAUCUCCUCAAGCACAAAGGGGGCGACGCUAUUCGAGGCUGCAGUAACGCUGUCAAAAUUCGAUUCUUUUACGACGCUAAUUAAGCACUUGAUUAUGGAGAUGCAUUAGUUUGGUCAGAGCAACACGAGAGCUACUGGUGCCCUAACGCACGACGCGGGCAUGCGCCUGAUCAAACUAGCACGGGCACACACAGUUUUCCUCACUUUAAUUUUACCGACCAUCAUGACAAAUAUCUUACUCGAGCAACUUCCUAAGACAAAAGCAAAAGCACACGUUGGAUUGGUAGUUAGCUCAAAUAACUGAUUAAUUAAGCACUUUCUUGUGCUGAAAGGAAAGUGAUGCCCCACAAGCUAUGCAAGAAUGUCAACCGUAGCUAGUGGCUAAUUAGCUGAGUUGCAUGUGUACGGAUAUGCCCUCGUCAGUUAUGAAUUAAUCAAGUGAUGGUGCAUGAAUGGCCUUAAGAGUUGACCAAUUACUCACCAAGUUGUUCUUGCUGCCACAAAGGGAGAACCUUUUUGACGAUUGGGAAAACUGUUUUUAGCUGCUACUCCCUUGCAUUUUAGUUGAUCUUUAAUUUAACUAAGUAAAUAAUAAGUUAUACUCUAGGUCAAAAUUAAAGUAUACCACACACUAGUAGAAAAAGGGCCUUUAGCCCCGGUUCGGUUGGGUCAUUAGUCCCGAUUCACGAACCGGGACUAAUGCUAGCCCCGGUUCGGCCCCGAACCGGGGCUAAUGUCCUUCCACGUGGCGGGGCUAGGAGCGAGGGGGGAGGGGUAUUAGUCCCGGUUCAUAUUACGAACCGGGGUUAUUUCAUCGCAGUUUUUUGAGCAAUUUUUGGGUUUAGGGUUUUGCACUAAAUUGGAUGGGCUAUUUUGCUGCCCCCUAUUUUCUCAUUUAUUUGUUACAUAUAUAUUGCACAACUCACGAAUAUAUUACACCAUCUCAUCCGUCGUGCUUUGUCGAACAUAUUUACAAAAUGUAGACAUGAGUUACAUGCACAUAUAUGCAUCUUUUUUACACUAUAUGAUUUCAUAUCAUUUCCGUCGAAUGGCAAUAGUAUUCUAAUCGAUCAUCUAACAACUCAUCAUCAUCUUAAUCAUAUGCCAAGUUAUCAUAUGAUACACAUAAAAUAAAACAGAGAAACAUCAUAAUAGUCAUCAUAUGCAUGCAUCCUAAUCGAUCAUCUCAAGUAAUAAUAUAAACCAGAAUAACUUGUCUCUCAUAAGACCUACUCCUCGCUCUUAGGUAUAAUGUCAUAAAACAGAAUAAUACCUAUGUUUCCAUGAUGAAUCACAGAGAUCCAACGGUCUCCAACUUGUGGCUCGCGAACCUUCUUUAUUUCUCUCCAUGCUUCAAUUUGAAGCCUUUUUUAUCUUGAUUUGAGGUUACUCGAGUAUGGAGCAUCGAACUCAGCCCUCAACGGGCUUCUAAUUUUCAUUUGACCUUCUGGGAGCAUCAUCAGAGGCACUACAUCAUUUGGCAGUUGCUGCUGAAGAACAUAAUAAUAACCUAGUUAGCAAUGUAAUCAACACUAUUUAUGCAAUAGUACAGCGUACUUAAUUAGAAAACUCUUACCAAGAUAUUUCGACGAAUGUCAUCCGGCCUCAACCUAUGCACUAGUGGCAUGUAAAAUGUAUAAUUUUGACCAAUUCCAAAAUUAUACGGGAAGGUAUCCCUAGAAACCAGAACACUAGCAACAAGAAAGUGGAGAAGAACAUCCUUCUCCUCCUAAGUUAGAUGUGAUCCAUAUGUGUAGUGUGUCGUGUCAAUUAAUUUCCGUAAUUCAGUCGAAGCAAUGCAAUAAGCUGUAAAUUAUAAACCGAUGGCCCUAAAAUCUAAAUGGCAAUAGCCUUGGGGUGCCUAGAGCGGGAGGGGAGGGGGCGGCAGCGCCUGGAGGGGAAGGGCUUACCGGACCGGGAUGGGGAGGGGGCUGAUAUUUGUUGUGUAUCCCCGGCAACGGCGCCAGAAAUGCUUCUGAUGUUCGUUGUGCUACUGCACAAAAGACCUUCUGGUGACGCUAGAAAUGGGCACGUUCACGGCACUAGGAAUUCUUCUGCGUUGGUGUUCCCUUGAAGCGGAAAGGGUGAUGUAGCACAGCGACGGUAAGUAUUUCCCUCAAUUUGAGAACCAAGGUAUCAAUCCGGCGGAAGAGUAUCUCAAGAUCCUGUACAAACACAAAAGCUUGCACCCAACGCUAUGAAGGGGUUGUCAAUCCCUUAUAGAUUGUUUGCCAAGUAAGAACUGAAAGCAACAAAGUAACAAAGCACAGUAAAAGAGAGUUGAAACGAUGGAUGUGAAUAGACCCGGGGGCCGUAGUGUUUACUAGUGCCUUCUCUCAUGAAAGCAAGUAGACGGAGGGUGAACAAAUUACUGUCGAGCAAUUGAUAGAACUGUGCAGAAUCGUGAUGAUAUCUAUGCAAUGAUUAUUUCUAUAGGCAUCACAUCCGAAACAAGUAGACCGAUACUUUCUGCAUCUACUACUAUUACUCCACACGUCGACCGCUAUCCAGCACGCAUCUAGUGUAUUAAGUCCAUAAGAACAGAGUAACGCCUUAAGCAAGAUGACAUGAUGUAGAGGGAUAAUCUCAAACCAAUGAUAAAAACCCCAUCUUUUUACCCUUGAUGGCAACUCCUUGAUGUGUGCCUUGCUACCCCUACUGUCACUGGGAAAGGUCACCACAUGGCAGAACCCAAAACCAAGCACUUCUCCCAUUGCAAGAAUCAUAGAUCUAGUUGGCCAAACAAAAACCGAAGACUCAGAGAGACUUACAAGGAUAUCAAAUCAUGCAUAUAAGAAAUCAGCAAAGACUCAAAUAUAUAUCAUAGAUAAUCUGAUCACAAGUCCACAAUUCAUCGGAUCUCGAUAAACACACCGCCAAAGAAGAUUACAUCGGAUAGAUCUCCAUGAAGAUCAUGGAGAACUUUGUAUUGAAGAUCCAAGAGAGAGAGGAAGCCAUCUAGCUACUAACUACGGACCCGUAGGUCUGAAUUGAACUACUCACGAGUCAUUGGGGGGCGAUGAUGAUGAUGAAGAAGCCCUCCAACUCCAAAGUCCCCUCCGGCAGGGUGCCGGGAAGGGUCUCCAGAUGAGAUCUCGCGGAAACGGAAGCUUGCGGCGUCGAAAAAGUAUUUUCGAGGCUCCCCUAAUUUUUUUGCGGAAUAUUUGGGAAUUUAUAGGUCAAAGAUCUAGGUCAUGGGCGGCCAGGGAGGCCACAAGCCUGCCCACCGCCGCCUCCCCCUAGUGGCGGAGUGGGGGCUUGUGGGCUCCCUCGAGUCCACCUGGCUUGGCCCAAAAGCCCCAUGGACUUCUUCCGUUCGGGAAAAAAUUAUUUCGGGGUUUUUCUUCCGUUUGGACUCCGUUCCAAAAUCAGAUCUGAAAAGAGUCAAAAACACGGGAAAAACAGGAACUCGCACUUGGCACUGAAUUAAUAAGUUAGUCCCAAAAAGAUAUAAAAAGGUACAUAAAACAUACAAAGAAGGAAAGAUAACAGCGUGAAAUCAUCAAAAAUUAUAGAUACAUUUGAGACGUAUCAAGCAUCCCCAAGCUUAACUCCUGCUCGUCCUCGAGUAGGGAAGUGAUAAGAAUGAAUUUUUGAUGCUUUCAUGCUACCUAGCAUAGGUGUCCUUUGUAAUUCCUCUUAUGUGACGUGAAUGUUCAGAUCCAUUAGAUUCAAAACAAUAGUUUGCUAUUGACGUGGAAACAAUAAUAAUUCAAGCAAACUAGCAAAGUAAUCAUGAACUUUCAAAAUAACAAGGCCGAAAGAAAGUUAUCCCUACAAAAGCAUAUAGUCUAGCUAUGCUCUAUCAUCAUUGCACAACGAAUUUAAAUCAUGCACAACCCCGGUGUUGGCCAAGUAAUUGUUUCACACCUUUACUUUCUCAAACAUUCUCAACUCUCACGUAAUACAUGAGUGUGAGCCAUGGUUAUAGCACUAUAGAUGGUGUGAAAUGUGGUGGAGGUUGCAAGACAAAAAGGAGAAGAUAGUCACAUUAACUAGGCAUAUCAAUGAGCUGUGGAGAUGCUCAUCAAUAGAUAUCAAUGUGAAUGAGUAGGGAUUGCCAUACAAAUGAUGCACUAGAGCUACAAGUAUGUGAAAGCUCUUAAAGAAAACUAGUGGGUGUGCAUCCAACUUGCUUGCUCACGAAGACCUAAGGCAAUUUUGAGGAAGCUUAUCAUUGAAAUAUACAAGCCAAGUUAUAUAAUGAGAAUUUCCCACUAGCUAUAUGAUGGUGAAAAAACGAGAGACUCUCAAUCAUGAAGAUUAUGGUGCGCAAUAUGCACAAGUGUGGAAAAAGUGGUAGCAUUGUCCCUUCUCUCUUUUUCUCUCAAUUUUUUUUUAUUUUGGUGGGCUCUUUGGCCUCUUUUUUAUGGGCUUCUUUGGCCUCUUUUAUUUCCUCACAUGGGACAAUGCUCCAAUAAUGAUGAUCAUCACACUUUCAACUCAAAACUUAGAGCAAUUAUGACUCUAUAUGGAAUGCCUUCGGUAGUGUACCGUGGCAAUGAUCUAGCAUGGCAUAGACAUCAAUGGAAACAUCAUGCUAGCUAUCUUACGAUCGUGCAAACGCAAUGUAUACGUGGUGGCACAUGUCAUGGUGCUAGUUGCAUGGCAAUAUAUCUUGGAAUGACUUUGCAAAAGCCAUAGUAGGUAGGUAUGGUGGCUGUUUUGAGGGAGGCUAAUGGUGGGUUUUGUGCACUGGCGAAAGUUGCGCGGCACUAAGAAGAUAGUGAUGGUGGAAGGUGAAAGUGCAUCUAAACCAUGGACUCAUCAUUAGUCAUGAAGAACUCAUAUACUUGUUGCAAAAGUUUUAUUAGUAAUCGAAACAAGGCAUUCAACGCAUACUCCUAGGGGAAGGGUUGGUAGGUAUAAUACCAUCGCGCGAUCCCGACCGCCACGCAAAGGAUGACAAUCAAAAGACUAAUCAUGCUCAGACUUCAUCACAUAGCGGUUCACCAUACGUGCAUGCUACGGGAAUCACUAACUUCAACACAAUUAUUUCUAGAUCCACAACACCUUACUAGCAUGACUUCAAUAUUACCAAAACCACAACUCAAAACUAAUUGAGAUGAAUCAAACUUCUCUAACUAUUCAAUGCACAUGAAGGUGGAAGUUUUCGUAUCCCUUUGGAUAUCUACCCCUUUUGAGACUACUUUCAAAGCAUAGAUCAACUACCAAGACACGCACCUCUGCGCUCUAAAAGAUAUAAGUGAAGCACAUAGAGCAAAAGUAUCUAGCUCAAAAGAUAUAAGUGAAGCACAUGUGAGCUGAAUUGUCUACCAAAAGAUAUAAGUGAAGCUCGACAAAAUCACGGUGAGUGCAUGUCUCUCUCUCUAGGUGUGCAGCAAGGAUGAUUGUGACACAACAAAAAUAAAAGACUCCUACGAUACAAGACUCCCCAAGCAAAAACACAUAACAUGUGGUGAAUAAAAAUAUAGCCCCAAGUAACGUUACCGAUGGAUUGAAGACGAGAGAGGGGAUGCCUUCCCGGGGCAUCCCCAAGCUUAGGCUUUUACGUCAUCCUUGAAUCUCUUGGGGUGCCUUGGGCAUCCCCAAGCUUGAGAUCUUGCCACUCUUUAUCUCUUUGUCCAUAAGAACUUCACCCAAAACUUGAAAACUUCACAACACGAAACUUAAACAGAAACUCGUGAUAACAUUAGUACAAAAAAGCAAACCACCACUUCCUUAGGUACUGUAGCAAACUUAACUUCUACUUGUGCUGAUGUUGGGUUACUGUACUUUCAAUUUUCCAUGGCUAAUAUCCCCCGAUACUAUCCAUAGUUUCAUCAAAAUAAGCAACCAACACAACAAAAACAGAAUCUGUUAACAGCAGACCAGUCUGUAGAAAUCUGUAUGUUUCAUAUAGCUCUGGUACUUCCAAAAUUCUGAAAACUUAAGACAGUCUGAAGAAUUUGCGUAGAAAUCAGCAGAAAAAAGAAUCAACUCAAAAGCUCUUACAUAAAAAAAAUAUAAAUUCUUUUCGUGAGCAGAAAGUUUCUGUCUUUUCCAGCACGACCAAACGAUCAUCCUCAAGACUAAUCAUAACGGUUUUGCUUGGCACAAACGCAAAAAGAAACACAAAAAACAUAUUCAUAACAUAAUCAUGAAAGUGUGGAAAACACAAAACAGAAAGAAAAAAGGAUAGAUUCGUUGGGUUGCCUCCCAACAAGCGCUUUUGUUUAACGCCCUUAGCUAGGCGAAAGUGAUGGAAUCACGUAUAGUCAUCUUUGGUACUCAAACCAUAAGUAGCCCUCAUCAUAGAUUCACAAGGCAAUCUUAUUUUCUUUCUAGGAAUGUGCUCCAUGCCCUUCUUUAAGGGAAAUUGAAAUCUAAUAUUCCCUUCCUUCAUAUCGAUGAUAGCACCAAUAGUCCUUAGGAAAGGUCUACCAAGAAUAAUGGGACAUGAAGGAUUGCAAUCUAUGUCAAGUACAAAGAAAUACACGGAUACAUAGUUCUUAUUUGCAACAAUAAGAACAUCAUCGAUCCUCCCCAUGGGCUUCUUGUUGGUAGAAUCCGCAAGAUGCAAAUUAAGAGAACACUCUUCAAUCUCAUGGAAACCAAGAAUAUCACAUAAAGACUUUGGAAUCGCGGAAACACUAGCACCCAAAUCACACAAAGCAUUGCACUCAUAGUUUUUUAUCUUGAUUUUGAUAGUAGGUUCCCACUCAUUUUGAAGUUUUCUAGGUAUAGAGACUUCUAGUUCGAGCUUCUCUUCAAGAGAUUUCAUCAUAGCAUCUACGAUAGAAAUGCAUUCAAACAAGGAGCAAUUAUCAUAAUUGAAUUCCUUGAAAUCCAAAGUGGGAGUUUCAUUACUACCCAAAAUUUUGACUUCUUCUACUCCACUCUCCACACCUUUAUCAUCAAGAUAGGUGGACUCCGAAUCAUCGGGGCGUUUUUCAACCAAAGUGGAUUCAUAUCCAGCCCCUCCAUAAGUAGGUUUGACAUGCGAAAACAAAGAUUCAAGAGGAGACAUACCAACCACUUUAAGAUCUUCGUGAUUUGCAUCACUAGAAUGCACCCUUUUAAACAUUCAUGUCUAGCGUGAAUUUGGACGGUUCUUUCUUUGCUCUCAUUCAUGGAGAUACGCAUAGCUUUAAAAGUUUUAUCCAAGUUGAUCUUGGGAGGAGCGCAUCUAACUUUCAAAGAAUCAAUAUCACAAGACAUCCUAUCAACGCACUUAGCCAAAUCGUCUAUUUUGAGUAGUUUUUCCUCUAUGGACGCAUUGAAAAUCUUUUGAGAGUUGAUGAACUCUUUGAUAUUACUCUCUAGAUCAGAGGGUAAUUUUUUAUGAUUUCCAUAAGUGUUGCCGUAGGAAUUGCCAUAAUUGUUAGAGGAGUUACUAGGAAAAGGCCUAGGAACAUAGUUUCCUCUAAAAGCAUUAUUGUUGCCAAAAUUGUUCCUACCAACAAAAUUCAUGUCCAAACUAGCAUUGCUACUCUCAAUCAAAGAAGAUAGUGGCAUGUCAUUAGGAUCUACGGUAGUAUUUCUACUAGCAACCAAAUUCAUCAACUCGUCCAUCUUAGCACUAAGCGAGUUAAUCUCUUCUAUAGCGUGCACCUUUUUGCUAGCAGACGACCUUUCAGUGUGCCACUGAGAGUAGUUGGUCAUGAUAUUGUCUAGGAGUUUUGUAGCGUCUCCUAACGUGAUUUACAUGAAUGUUCCACCUGAGGCGGAGUCCAAGAUAUUGCGAGAAGCGAAAUUCAAGCCAGCGUAAAAGAUUUGUAUAAUCAUCCACAAACUCAAGCCAUGAGCAGGACAAUUUCUAAUCAUAAGCUUCAUCCUCUCCCAAGAUUGUGCAACGUGUUCAUGAUCAAGUUGCUUGAAAUUCAUGAUAUCGUUAUGUAAGGAGAUGAACUUAGCCGGCGGAAAAUACUUAGAUAUGUAAGUAUCUUUGUGUUGGGUAACGUCGCAUGGGAAACAAAAAUUUUCCUACGCGCACGCCUAUCAUGGUGAUGUCCAUCUACGAGAGGGGAUGUGUGAUCUACGUACCCUUGUAGACCGUACAGCAGAAGCGUUAGUGAACGCGGUUGAUGUAGUGGAACGUCCUCACGUCCCUUGAUCCGCCCCGCGAACCGUCCCGCGAUCAGUCCCACGAUCUAAUGUCGAACGGACGGCACCUCCGCGUUCAGCACACGUACAACUCGACGAUGAUCUCGGCCUUCUUGAUCCAGCAAGAGAGACGGAGAGGUAGAAGAGUUCUCCGGCAGCAUGACGGCGCUCCGGAGGUUGGUGAUGAUAUCGUCUCGGCAGGGCUCCACCCGAGCUCCGCAGAAACGCGACCUAGAGGUAAAACCGUGGAGAUAUGUGGUCGGGCUACCGUGGCAAAGUUGUCUCAAAUCAGCCCUAAAACCUCCGUAUAUAUAGGGGGAGGAGGGGGAGCCUUGCCUUGGGGUCCAAGGACUCCCAAGGGGGUCGGCCGAGCCUAAGGGGGGAACCCUCCCCUUCCAAACCGAGUCCAACUAGGUUUGGAAGGAGGAGUCCUUCCCCCUUUCCCACCUCCUCUUUUUUUUCUCUUUGAUUUUCUUCCUAUGGCGCAUAGGGCCUUCUUGGGCUGUCCCACCAGCCCACUAAGGGCUGGUGCGCCACCCCCAAGGCCUAUGGGCUUCCCCGGGGUGGGUUGCCCCCCCCGGUGAACUCCCGGAACCCAUUCGUCAUUCCCCGUACAUUCCCGGUAACUCCGAAAACCUUACGGUAAUCAAAUGAGGUCAUCCUAUAUAUCAAUCUUCGUUUCCGGACCAUUCCAAAAACCCUCGUGACGUCCGUGAUCUCAUCCGGGACUCCGAACAACAUUCGGUAACCAACCAUAUAACUCAAAUACGCAUAAAACAACGUCGAACCUUAAGUGUGCAGACCCUGCGGGUUCGAGAACUAUGUAGACAUGACCCGAGAGACUCCUCGGUCAAUAUCCAAUAGCGGGACCUGGAUGCCCAUAUUGGAUCCUACAUAUUCUACGAAGAUCUUAUCGUUUGAACCUCAGUGCCAAGGAUUCAUAUAAUCCCGUAUGUCAUUCCCUUUGUCCUUCGGUAUGUUACUUGCCCGAGAUUCGAUCGUCAGUAUCCGUAUACCUAUUUCAAUCUCGUUUACCCGCAAGUCCCUUUACUCAUUCCGUAAUACAAGAUCCCGCAACUUACAUUAAGUCACAUUGCUUGCAAGGCUUGUGUGUGAUGUUGUAUUACCGAGUGGGCCCCGAGAUACCUCUCCGUCACACGGAGUGACAAAUCCCAGUCUCAAUCCAUACUAACUCAACGAACACCUUCGGAGAUACCUGUAGAGCAUCUUUAUAGUCACCCAGUUAUGUUGCGACGUUUGAUACACACAAAGUAUUCCUCCGGUGUCAGUGAGUUAUAUGAUCUCAUGGUCAUAGGAACAAAUACUUGACACGCAGAAAACAGUAGCAACAAAAUGACACGAUCAACAUGCUACGUCUAUUAGUUUGGGUCUAGUCCAUCACGUGUUUCUCCUAAUGACGUGAUCCAGUUAUCAAGCAACAACACCUUGUUCAUAAUCAGAAGACACUGACUAUCUUUGAUCAACUGGCUAGCCAACUAGAGGCUUGCUAGGGACAGUGUUUUGUCUAUGUAUCCACACAUGUAUUUAUGUCUUCAUUCAAUACAAUUAUAGCAUGGAUAAUAAACGAUUAUCUUGAUAUAGGAAUUAUAAUAAUAACUAUAUUUAUUAUUGCAUCUAGGGCAUAAUUCCAACACUUUGCACCUAUCCCAAGAAUCGAUACUAUUUUUAGGCAAAGAAGAAAACCAAGUUUUUGCGCGAUCUCGCAACGAGAAAGGAAAAAGUUUUAACUUAAUCACGUCAUUAUCCACAUCUCUUUUCUUUUGCAUAUCACAAAGCUCAAUGAAGGUAUUGAGAUGGGAUGCGACAUCUUCACUAGGAAGGCCAGAGAAUUGCUCUUUCAUAACAAGAUUCAGCAAAGCUGUGUUGAUUUCAUACGAUGCCACACUAGUGGCGGGAGCAAUCGGAGUACUAAUAAAAUCAUUAUUAUUAGUGCUCGAGAAGUCACAAAGUUUGGUAUUUUCAGACAUGAUGUCUUCAACAAACAAACAAGCACACAAGCAAGCAAGAAACCGGAAAAGGAAAACGGCAAGGGCAAGAGAAAACGGCGAAGGAGAAAGGCGAAUGAAAACAACAAAUGUGAAGUGGGGGAGAGGAAAACGAGAGGCAACUCGCAACAAAAGUAAAUGCAAGAGAAGAGUUUGUGAGACCUACUUGGAUAGAUCUUGAUUUCUCCUCCCCGGCAACGGCGCUAGAAAUACUUCUUGAUGUUUGCUGUGUAUCCCCGGCAACGGCGCCAGAAAUGCUUCUGAACUCCAUUGUGCUACUGCACAAAAGACCUUCUGGUGGCGCCAGAAAUGGGCACGUUCACGGCACUAGGAAUUCUUUUGCGUUGGUGUUCCCUCGAAGCGGAAAGGGUGAUGUAGCACAGCGACGGUAAGUAUUUCCCCCAGUUUGAGAACCAAGGUAUCAAUCCGGCGGAAGAGUAUCUCAAGAUCCUGCACAAACACAAAAGCUUGCACCCAGCGCUAUGAAGGGGUUGUCAAUCCCUUAUAGAUUGUUUGCCAAGUGAGAACUGAAAGCAACAAAGUAACACAACAAAGUAAAAGUGGGGUUGUAAACGAUGGAUGUGAAUAGACCCGGGGGCAUAGUAUUUACUAGUGGCUUCUCUCAUGAAAGCAAGUAGACGGAGGGUGAACAAAUUACUGUCGAGCAAUUGAUAAAACUGUGCAGAGUCGUGACGAUAUCUAUGCAAUGAUUAUUUCUAUAGGCAUCACGUCCGAAACAAGUAGACCGAUACUUUCUGCAUCUACUACUAUUACUCCACACGUCGACCGCUAUCCAGCAUGCAUAGUGUAUUAAGUCCAUAAGAACAGAGUAACGCCUUAAGCAAGAUGACAUGAUGUAGAGGGAUAAUCUCAAACCAAUGAUAAAAACCCCAUCUUUUUACCCUUGAUGGCAACUCCUUGAUGUGUGCCUUGCUACCCCUACUGUCACUGGGAAAGGUCACCACAUGGCAGAACCCAAAACCAAGCACUUCUCCCAUUGCAAGAAUCAUAGAUCUAGUUAGCCAAACAAAACCCAAGACUCGGAGAGACUUACAAGGAUAUCAAAUCAGGCAUAUAAGAAAUCAACAAAGACUCAAAUAUAUAUCAUAGAUAAUCUGAUCACAAGUCCACAAUUCAUCGGAUCUCGACAAACACACCGCCAAAGAAUAUUACAUCGGAUAGAUCUCCAUGAAGAUCAUGGAGAACUAUGUAUUGAAGAUCCAAGAGAGAGAGGAAGCUAUCUAGAUACUAACUACAGACCCGUAGGUCUGAAGUGAACUACUCACAAGUCAUUGGAGGGGCGAUGAUGAUGAUGAUGAAGCCCUCCAACUCCAAAGUCCUCUCCGGAGGGUGCCGGGAAGGGUCUCCAGAUGAGAUCUCGCGAAAACGGAAGCUUGCGGCGACGGAAAAAGUAUUUUCGAGGCUCCCCUGAUUUUUUGCGGAAUAUUUGGGAAUUUAUAGGCCAAAGAUCUAGGUCAGGGGCGGCCAGGGAGGCCACAAGCCUGCCCACGGCCGCCUCCCCCCUGGUGGCGGAGUGGGCGCUUGUGGGCUCCCUGGAGCCCACCUGGCUUGGCCCAAAAGCCCCCUGGACUUCUUCCGUUUGGGAUAAAAUCAUUUUGGGGUUUUUCUUCCGUUUGGACUCUGUUCCAAAAUCAGAUCUGAAAAGAGUCAAAAACAUGGAAAAAAUAGUAACUGGCACUUGGCACUGAAUUAAUAAGUUAGUCCCAAAAAGAUAUAAAAAGGUAUAUAAAACAUACAAAGAAGGCAAGACAACAGCGUGAAAUCAUCAAAAAUUAUAGAUACGUUUGAGAUGUAUCAGGGGCCGGCCGGCUUACCGGAGCGGGAGAGGGGAAGGGGGCUUACCGCAGGAGGGGAGGGGGGCGGCGGCGACGACGACGACGACGGCGAGGGAGGCGGCGACGACGACGACAACGGCGAGGGAGGCGGCGGCGGGG
rnacentral:lncRNA from 1 species